GGGGGGCUGGCGCAACGGUAGCGCGUUAGAUUCCAGUCCUAAAGGUUAUCAGUUCAAAUCUGGUGUCCCUCA
rnacentral:tRNA from 17 species